CCCGAAAGGUCGAAGGAGGAAAUUCAUUCGCGUUUCGGCCGUCGAAGUUGAACGUUUGUUUGACGAAUGAAGUUUCGGCUUCGUUUGCAUCUUACGUUCUUCGAGUCGAUGUCGAACGCGUGCACUUUUCCUCUAGUAGGACGUCGCGAUCCGUUGGGUGUCUGUCUAAGACUUGGGGUGGAGCCCGCGCGAUUUUCGAUCGCGUGGACCCUCGAUGUUCCGACAGACUCGCUCGACGGUAUACUAAUGGCGCGGGGCCGCUACUUCAGUUAGCGUUUGGCCCGUAGCAAGCACGUUCUGCGUUUGACAGCGAUCGGACCUGGUGCCGAUUCUGUUCCGGAACGACUGUUGGUUACGGUGUUCUCAAACAGACCUCGUUUACGAAACGCCGAUCAGCGACGCUAUUGAUUUGGGUACUUUCAGGACCCGUCUUGAAACACGGACCAAGGAGUCUAGCAUGUGCGCGAGUCAUUGGGACAUAACUAAACCUAAAGGCGUAAUGAAAGUAAAGGUUUACCUUGCGUAGACCGAGGGAAGAUGAGCGGAUCGCCCUUAAAAGUGACCGCUUCGCACUCCCGGGGCGUCUCAUUCUCAUUACGAGAAGAGGCGCACCAAGAGCGUACACGCUGGGACCCGAAAGAUGGUGAACUAUGCCUGGUCAGGACGAAGUCAGGGGAAACCCUGAUGGAGGUCCGUAGCGAUUCUGACGUGCAAAUCGAUCGUCGGAACUGGGUAUA
rnacentral:rRNA from 1 species